GCGGAUAUAGUUUAGUGGCAGAACGCGAGGUUGUGGUCCUUGUAGCGGGGGUUCGAUUCCCUCUUUCCGCU
rnacentral:tRNA from 1 species